rnacentral:sRNA from 1 species
GUGACGGGGGUUCUUUUUGGUGACACAGAAGCGGGUUCCAGCAUCUAAGUGAAGAGGCUGACUGGAACCCUACAUGGAUGAGAACUUCAUCUCCAGAGCCUUUGCCACCAUGGGGGAGACCGUAAUGAGCGUCAAAAUUAUCCGAAACCGCCUCACUGGGAUCCCAGCUGGCUACUGCUUUGUAGAAUUCGCAGAUUUGGCCACAGCUGAGAAGUGUUUGCAUAAAAUUAAUGGGAAACCCCUUCCAGGAGCCACACCUGCGAAACGCUUUAAACUGAACUAUGCCACUUAUGGGAAACAACCAGAUAACAGCCCUGAGUAUUCCCUCUUUGUGGGGGACCUGACCCCGGAUGUGGAUGAUGGCAUGCUGUAUGAAUUCUUCGUCAAAGUCUACCCCUCCUGUCGGGGAGGCAAGGUGGUUUUGGACCAGACAGGCGUGUCUAAGGGUUAUGGUUUUGUGAAAUUCACAGAUGAACUGGAACA